ACGGCGAGUGAAGCGGCAACAGCUCAAAUUUGAAAUCUGGCUCCCUUUGGGGGUCCGAGUUGUAAUUUGCAGAGGGUGCUUUGGCGUCGACGGCGGUCUAAGUCCCUUGGAACAGGGCAUCACAGAGGGUGAGAAUCCCGUAUGUGGCCGCAAGCCUUCGCCGUGUAAAGCCCCUUCAACGAGUCGAGUUGUUUGGGAAUGCAGCUCUAAAUGGGAGGUAAAUAUCUUCUAAAGCUAAAUACUGGCCAGAGACCGAUAGCGCACAAGUAGAGUGAUCGAAAGAUGAAAAGCACUUUGGAAAGAGAGUCAAACAGCACGUGAAAUUGUUGAAAGGGAAGCGCUUGCAGCCAGACUUGCUCGCAGUUGCUCAUCCGGGCUCUCGCCCGGUGCACUCUUCUGCGCGCAGGCCAGCAUCAGUUUGGGCAGCCGGAUAAAGGCCUCUGUCACGUAUCUUCCUUCGGGAUGACCUUAUAGGGGAGGUGUAAUGCGGUUAGCCUGGACUGAGGUCCGCGCAUCUGCUAGGAUGCUGGCGUAAUGGCUGUAAGCGGCCCGUCUUGAAACACGGACCAAGGAGUCUAACAUCUAUGCGAGUGUUUGGGUGUCAAGCCCGAGCGCGCAAUGAAAGUGAACGGAGGUGGGAGCCCUCUUGGGGGUGCACCAUCGACCGAUCCUGAUGUCUUCGGAUGGAUUUGAGUAAGAGCAUAGCUGUUGGGACCCGAAAGAUGGUGAACUAUGCUUGAAUAGGGUGAAGCCAGAGGAAACUCUGGUGGAGGCUCGCAGCGGUUCUGACGUGCAAAUCGAUCGUCAAAUUUGGGCAUAGGG
rnacentral:rRNA from 1 species